rnacentral:lncRNA from 1 species
UAAAUUUUUAAAGUUUCAUGGAUAUAUAUUUAUAUAUGAUAUUUUAAAGUUUGGAGAAAUGUAUAUGCAGUAUUCUAAUUUAUAGAAAUAUAUUUUUAAAUAAAAAAUUGCACCGAAGAGGCUUUAAUGAUUGAUACUUAAGGUCCUAAGUUCUUAACUUAGUUGUUUUAUAUUUCUCAGCUAAUUUUAUUUCUUAAACAAAAAUAUACGAAGCGCAUAACAUGUUAUCUUACUCUAAAAAAAUAGUAAAUUUCCGAACUUUCAAUCAUGCUUCAUUUUAGUCCUCAAAAUUUCAUGCGACGGCAGUGGUCUCUAAAAUCUUAAAAGAGUUUCACUUUAAUUUUUGCAUAUAUUUACUAUUAGAGGAUAAAUUAUUGCACGCACCCAAUAGUUUUGUACACUUAUACACUAUAUAUUUAUUAGUUUUUUUUUCCAUUAUAUAUUUCAAUCCUAACACUCGUCGAGUUAUACUUCUUUUUUUGAUACAAAAAAUUAGAUUUCUGAAUUGAAAGUACGAGAUGGGUGAAGAAACAAUGAAUUUAUGGUGUGCGAAUAAACAACUGAACUAGUGCAAGCAAUAACUUUUAAUCUAAAUUAAGGACUAAAAAUGAAACAUUUUUAAUUGGAAGUUUAGGAACUCAAUCGAAACCUUUACUAAAUGUUUAGAAUCUCCAAAGUCGAAAAUGAAAGUUUGAGGAUCAAAAUUAAACUUUAGUCAUGUAUAGUUUGGGGACUAACAGUGCAAUUUACACUACUUUUAAUUGUCCUUUUUGGGGAUAAUUGCAUAUGGCUCUCUGUAAAGGUAGGUAUGAGUUAAAAAAGCUAACCAUAGUUAGCUAAGGGUGAAAUAACCUUUUUAGUCCUUAUAUAUAUAAUGUGCAUGUAUUCCAAUGUUGAGUCCUGUUAACUUUCCCACCCUCUUCUCUUUAUUCGUAACGAUGGUGAGAUCUACGACAGCGGUGACGUCGAAGGCGAGGUCUCGGUCGUGACAAAAGUGAGGUACGCUGCACGUUCCGUGCGAAGUGAAGGAGAGAGAUGGAAAGAAAAUUAACUUUUUGCAGAGACAAAUUUGUAAGGAUAAAAUAGUCAUUUUACUCACUCACUGUUAAAAAACUAAUGUUGAAUUAAACGGCAGAUAUAUAUAUAUAUAUAUAUAUAGAGAGAGAGAGAGAGAGAGAGAGAGAGAGAGAGAGUAGGGCUACUAUACUCUUAUGAGUAUAGAACCCUUACUACUCAUAAGUUGUUUUCGAUAUUGGAAUUUUUUAAUUGACGAUCCACACCGUUAAAUAUGAUCUAGAGUAUUUGAAACUUCUAGAAAAUAAAUUUCAUAAAUUUUCAAAAUCAUUACAAAGUCCAUCAAGCGAGUAUAAAAUGAACGGUUAAAAUCAAAUGACAUCCUAAAAAUGGAUGAUCGGAUCCUUCAAUUUAAGAUCGGAGUUAUUGAUCUUUAUUUAGGUAGUGAAUAGAAUUUUCUAUCAAAAAUUCAACCUAUUUCGAUUCUUUUUCACCGUUAAACUAGCAAAUAUCUCAUACCGGCCGUUAAAAAUUAUCAAUUUUGUGACCGUUUGAUCGUAAGGUAAAUAAUAUCGAAAAAUUAUAAAAUUUAAUUUCUAGAAGUUUUAAAUGAUCUAGAUAAUAUUUAACGGUAUGGAUCGUCGAUUCGGAAGUUCUAUCAUCGAAAACAACUUAUGAGUACGAGAGCGAUCGUACUCAUAAGAGUAUAGUAGCCGGACUAUAUAUAUAUAUAUAUAUAAAAUUGAGCUCCUAUGCUUUUAAAAGUACCAAGUUAUUGGUGUUUGUAGGUUUUUAGCCAUUGGAUUAAGAGAUAUGCGGUUAGGAUGAUGUGGGCUCCCUAGGGUUGAGUAGGUGGUUGGUUGAAUAGUAUAUAUAUAUGAACCGAAGCAGAACAUUUAAAGGGAUGUUUUUGUAAAUCAGAAAAUUUUUGAGUGGACAAAUUUGAAAUCGUUAGUUUUGUAGGAAUAUAUUUGCUAUUUAACAUCUUUUAGGCACCUAU